ensembl:lncRNA
AAGGAGCAACCUCAGAACCCCAGAGAGGAAAGGAAAACAAAAACCCCUAAACAAUGAAGAAACCCACUGGGCAGGAAGGGUAGGCUGGAUGCUGCUAUGAGAGCUUGGGUAUCAGGAGAGAAUUUUGGUUUGGGGUACAGUCUGAGAACUCUACCUGAAAGCUUGAAGCUGUCUUUCCCAGUCUCCCUUCCUUCAUCCAACGCUUCCCAGGCAGGGGGAGGAUGUAUAAUACAACCCAAGAUCACUAUCAUUUGCCAUGGCAACCACCCAACCCCAGAUCUCCUGGCCCAGAGGAGACUGGAAGGAGAAGACAUUUCUCCAGGACAGAGAAGCAUAGGAGCGUGAGCUGGGACAUCCAUCUUCUCCUGCCCUCGGACGUCAGAUCUCUUGAUUCUUGGGUCUUUAUCGCGUGUGCAUAUGAAGUCACUUCAGUCAUAUCCGACUCUUUGUGACCUCAUAGACCAUACAUAGCUCGACAGGUUCCUCUGUCCAUAGGAUUUCCCAGGCAAGAAUACUGGAGUGGGUUGCCAUGCCCUUCUCCAGGGGAUCUUCCUGACCCAGAGCUAGACCUGCAUCUCUUGCAUCUCCUGCAUUGCGUGAAGAUGGCAGACUGUGGGACUUCUCUGCUUCGACAAUCAUGGUAGGGGGUUGAAAAGAUAGUCAAGAUAAAUGGUUCAGCAUAAUCUUCAUCCACAUAUAAGAACAGACAAUGAGUCUACUAAGCUAGCCUGACAUUAUUAGAAAAGUUUAACUAGUAUUUAUUGAGCAUACACCCAGUGACUAUUGCUAUACAAAGAACUUGGGGUGGAGUUGUGAGUGAAACCAGACACUGUUUCUACACUCCUGAAGAUUAUUGCCCCGAGAAAGAGAUUAAAAUUGAGCAAACCGUUCCACUCAGAAAAGAGGAAAAUGAACAAUCCAAAAAGGAAAUUAAGAAAACUGGCAAUCAUUUUUUGGACAUGACACCAGAAGCACAGGCAACACACAUAAAAGUAGAUAAACUGGACUACAUGGAUAAUUAAAAACUCCUGUGCAUCGAGAGACACAAUCAAAGGAGUGAAAAAGCAGCCUAUAGAACAGGAGGGAAUAUUUGCAAUUUAUAUAUCUGAUAAGGAGUAAACACCCAGACUAUACAAAGAAUUCCUACAACUCAACAAGAAACCAAAUAACGUGAUCAAAAAACUGGCAAAGAACUUGAACAGACAUUUCCCCGAAGAAGAUACAAAUGACCAACAAGCACAUGAAGAAGUGCUCAGGGUCGCUAAUCUAAGGGAAAUGCAAAUCAAACCACAGUGAGAUACCACCUCAUACUCCUCAGGAUGGCGACUGUCAGAAUCACAAAAACAAAAACAACAAGCAUUGGCAAGGAUGUGGGAAAACUGGUACCUAAUGUAGUCAGAUUCACAGAGAAAACAAGAAGAGUGACUGCCAAGGGCUGAGGAAGGGAAGAAAUGGGAGUUGAUGGGUAAAGAGUUUUCAUUUUUUAAAAGAUUGUUUUGAUGUGGACUGGUUUUAAAGACUUCACUGAAUUUAUUACAGUAUUGCUUCUGUUUCAUGGUUUGGUCUCUUGGCCGGGAGGCAUGUGGGAUCUCAGCUCCCCAACCAGGGAUGGAACCUGUACCCCCUGCAUUGGAAGCUGAACUCUUAACCACUGUAUCACCAAGGAAGUCUCCAGAGUUUUCCUCUAGCAAGAUGAAAGGAGUUCUGGAGAAGGAUAGUGGUGAUGGCUGCACAGAAAUGGGAAUGUGCUUAAAGUUACUGAACAGUACACUUCAAAACAGUUAAGAUGAGUGAAGUAGGCUAUCCUGAAACGAACUUCCUGAUUCAGCAUCUGCUUGGGUUCACAUGAACUAGUCAUCAGACCUGGGAAUCUGGGUCCCUUUUCUGGAGCACCGCCCAGCACGAUUCUGAGACAUAUCCUAGACCAACCUUCACACCGCCCUUUGCAGCCUCAGAAAAAUGAAGGAUGGAGGGAACCUAACAGGAUCUGGCUGACGAUGACGACAAAUCUGGGCAAAGUUGUAAAUCCAGAAGCUGCUGAAGUGAAACUGGAAGAAACACAGGGACUCGGUGUUUUCAUCCAUCUGCAAGAUCACCCAACGCCCCGUUCAAGUCUGGGCACGAGUCACCAGGUUUCCACAUACACCUACCCCCUGAAGUGCAGUGAGCACCUGGGUGUGUGGUGCCGAGGGAGACUUCUGUAGGAAACACCUCGGGAAAAUGGAGAGAGGGGAGGCCCGGAUCUCGGUCAUCCACGCAGGCGCUGUGCCUGAUGCACGCACGUGGGUGCGGGACAGCUGUGCUGACCAGCGCGUGGCUGUUACCAGCGUUCAGGUUGGAUGCCCUUGUGUAAUUAUAUCACGUAAACAAGUUUGUUUUUUAAAAACAGAUUGAAAGCUCUAAGUAUAGCCUAUUAGAUUCUUUGGGGGAAACUGCUAUAGGAUUAGUGAACUCAGCUCUGUGCCCCUCAAAACUUCAGAAGCUGGAUUGAGGGUGGGAGGGGGAAUGUAGAGUUAGUAUUAAUGCAUUGGUAUUAGAAUAAAAGCAUCUAGGCUUUCUUUUCAUAGUCAUGAGAAAAUUGUCAGAUUACUUCUGUCUACAACCAAACUUAUUCAAGUUUCUUAAGCAAAUAUGUAAUGAUUGGUGAAAAUAAUCCAUUUAUUGACCAAAAACAUCUUUGCAAGGUGGGCAAAGGAAGAGACAAACAUUGAAAUUUUACUUAUUUAAAAAAAGCUAAGCAUCGCAACAAGCUUGGAGGGGAACAAGAGAACAUUGCUAGAGUUACUUAUUUUAAAAAGGGGAAAGGAAAGCAAUAUUAUUAUUAUCAUUGUCAUUAUUAUUACCAACACUAUUAUUUUGCUUAUUUGAGCUUUGAACUCAUCACCCUCUUCCUGUGGGGGAAGAAAAAAUCCAGCUCUCAACCCCAGUUUUCUUACUUAUCCUUAAC